rnacentral:rRNA from 1 species
CCUACGGGAGGCAUCAGUGAGGAAUAUUGGACAAUGGUCGGGAGACUGAACCAGCCAAGCCGCGUGAGGGAUGAAGGUACAGAGUAUCGUAAACCUCUUUUGUCAGGGAACAAAGGCGGGGACGCGUCCCCGGAUGAGUGUACCUGAAGAAAAAUCAUCGGCAAACUCCGUGCCAGCAGCCGCGGUAAUACGGAGGAUGCGAGCGUUAUCCGGAUUUAUUGGGUGUAAAGGGUGCGCAGGCGGUUUGUUAAGUCAGCGGUCAAAGCCCGGGGCUCAACCCCGGCCCGCCGUUGAAACUGGCAGUCUAGAGUUGGAGAGAAGUAUGCGGAAUGCGCGGUGUAGCGGUGAAAUGCAUAGAUAUCGAGCAGAACUCCGAUGGCGAAGGCAGGAUGCCGGCUACACACUGACGCUGAGGCACGAAAGCGUGGGUAUCGAACAGGAUUAGAUACCCGAGUAGUC